rnacentral:rRNA from 1 species
UACGAAGGGGGCUAGCGUUACUCGGAAUGACUGGGCGUAAAGGGCGCGUAGGCGGUUUGCUUAGUUAGGCGUGAAAUUCCUGGGCUCAACCUGGGGGCUGCGCUUAAUACAGGCAGACUAGAGUGUGAAAGAGGGUCGUGGAAUUUCCAGUGUAGAGGUGAAAUUCGUAGAUAUUGGAAAGAACACCGGUGGCGAAGGCAGCCCCCUGGGAUAACACUGACGCUCAUGCACGAAAGCGUGGGGAGCAAACAGG